GACGAACGCUGGCGGCGUGCUUAACACAUGCGAGUCGAACGGAAAGGCCCUGCUUUUGUGGGGUGCUCGAGUGGCGAACGGGUGAGUAACACGUGAGUAACCUGCCCUUGACUUUGGGAUAACUUCAGGAAACUGGGGCUAAUACCGGAUAGGAGCUCCUGCUGCAUGGUGGGGGUUGGAAAGUUUCGGCGGUUGGGGAUGGACUCGCGGCUUAUCAGCUUGUUGGUGGGGUAGUGGCUUACCAAGGCUUUGACGGGUAGCCGGCCUGAGAGAGUGACCGGCCACAUUGGGACUGAGAUACGGCCCAGACUCCUACGGGAGGCAGCAGUGGGGAAUAUUGCACAAUGGGCGGAAGCCUGAUGCAGCAACGCCGCGUGCGGGAUGACGGCCUUCGGGUUGUAAACCGCUUUCGCCUGUGACGAAGCGUGAGUGACGGUAAUGGGUAAAGAAGCACCGGCUAACUACGUG
rnacentral:rRNA from 1 species